GAUGAACGCUAGCGGGAGGCCUAACACAUGCAAGCCGAGCGGUAGAGAUUCUUCGGAAUCUUGAGAGCGGCGUACGGGUGCGGAACACGUGUGCAACCUGCCUUUAUCAGGGGGAUAGCCUUUCGAAAGGAAGAUUAAUACCCCAUAAUAUAUUAAGUGGCAUAAUUUGAUAUUGAAAACUCCGGUGGAUAAAGAUGGGCACGCGCAAGAUUAGAUAGUUGGUAGGGUAACGGCCUACCAAGUCAGUGAUCUUUAGGGGGCCUGAGAGGGUUAUCCCCCAAACUGGUACUGAGACACGGACCAGACUCCUACGGGAGGCAGCAGUGAGGAAUAUUGGACAAUGGGUGAGAGCCUGAUCCAGCCAUCCCGCGUGAAGGAUGACGGCCCUAUGGGUUGUAAACUUCUUUUGUAUAGGGAUAAACCUUUCCACGUGUGGAAAGCUGAAGGUACUAUACGAAUAAGCACCGGCUAACUCCGUGCCAGCAGCCGCAGUAAGAC
rnacentral:rRNA from 1 species